rnacentral:tRNA from 1 species
GCGGGUGUAGUAUAGUGGUAGUAUAGCUCUCUCCAAAAGAGUAGGCGGGGGUUCGAUUCCCUCCACCCGUGCCA